rnacentral:rRNA from 1 species
CCGGAUAGGAGCGUCCACCGCAUGGUGGGUGUUGGAAAGAUUUAUCGGUUUUGGAUGGACUCGCGGCCUAUCAGCUUGUUGGUGAGGUAAUGGCUCACCAAGGCGACGACGGGUAGCCGGCCUGAGAGGGUGACCGGCCACACUGGGACUGAGACACGGCCCAGACUCCUACGGGAGGCAGCAGUGGGGAAUAUUGCACAAUGGGCGCAAGCCUGAUGCAGCGACGCCGCGUGAGGGAUGACGGCCUUCGGGUUGUAAACCUCUUUCAGUAGGGAAGAAGCGAAAGUGACGGUACCUGCAGAAGAAGCACCGGCUAACUACGUGCCAGCAGCCGCGGUAAUACGUAGGGUGCGAGCGUUAUCCGGAAUUAUUGGGCGUAAAGAGCUCGUAGGCGGUUUGUCGCGUCUGUCGUGAAAGUCCGGGGCUUAACCCCGGAUCUGCGGUGGGUACGGGCAGACUAGAGUGCAGUAGGGGAGACUGGAAUUCCUGGUGUAGCGGUGGAAUGCGCAGAUAUCAGGAGGAACACCGAUGGCGAAGGCAGGUCUCUGGGCUGUAACUGACGCUGAGGAGCGAAAGCAUGGGGAGCGAACAGGAUUAGAUACCCUGGUAGUCCAUGCCGUAAACGUUGGGCACUAGGUGUGGGGACCAUUCCACGGUUUCCGCGCCGCAGCUAACGCAUU